GACGAACGCUGGCGGCGUGCUUAACACAUGCAAGUCGAACGGAAAGGCCCUGCUUUUGUGGGGUGCUCGAGUGGCGAACGGGUGAGUAACACGUGAGUAACCUGCCCUUGACUUUGGGAUAACUUCAGGAAACUGGGGCUAAUACCGGAUAGGAUCUCCUGCUGCAUGGUGGGGGUUGGAAAUUUUCGGCGGUUGGGGAUGGACUCGCGGCUUAUGAGCUUGUUGGUGGGGUAGUUGCUUACCAAGGCUUUGACGGGUAGCCGGCCUGAGAGGGUGACCGGCCACAUUGGGACUGAGAUACGGCCCAGACUCCUACGGGAGGCAGCAGUGGGGAAUAUUGUACAAUGGGCGGAAGCCUGAUGCAGAAACGCCGCGUGCGGGAUGACGGCCUUCGGGUUGUAAACCGCUUUCGCCUGUGACGAAGCGUGAGUGACGGUAAUGGGUAAAGAAGCACCGGCUAACUACGUG
rnacentral:rRNA from 1 species